rnacentral:lncRNA from 1 species
CUUCUCAUUUCUGCUGCCUGUUAAUUCUAUAGGUGAUGAACACUGGAGGAUGUCGUUCUCUAUCAAAAGAUCCCUAGAACUGAGUGUCAGGAUUGCAUGUGGGUCCUGAAGCGUACAUGUUAACCUCAUACCUAAUAGUAAUAUAUGACAGCUGGACCAUGUUGAUUUGCAACAAAACGCAAGCACGGUUCCAUUCACUCCAUUACUGAUUGUUAACAUAUCUUGUCCACCUACUCCCCAAAUCUACUCUGCUCCUUUUUGUUGGGCCUUUGAAUGUACCAUUAAAAUUAUGUAUUUUGA